rnacentral:lncRNA from 1 species
UUUUUAGUGUGAAAUCACACGACUAAAUUCCAAUUAGGCCAAAAGAUCUUCAUGUGCCCGUUGACUUCGAGUUUGAAAGAGCUCGGGUUUGGGUUCGAAAUUCGAUCUAAGGUUUGAGGGGUUCUAGGAUGAUUCAAAGUAUAAGGUUCAGGGUUUUGGAAAGAGGGUGAUUUGGUGGUUCAGGGGUGUUAAUUUGGUGGUCACCGGAGUGGUUACCGCCGGGUUUAUGGCGAAGUGAAAGGGAGGCAGCUAUUAGGGUUUAGGGGUCGUCUGGUGAGGGGAUUAGGAGAGACAGG